UAAUUAAGUGUUUUAUGGCACUUUUUAAAUCCAUAUCCACCUUGUGUGCAAUGUCGGUCGAUCUUCUUUUUUGAGGAUCGACCAAACAUCAACCUUUAUUUUUUAACUCUUUGUCUGAAAAAUAUUAUGAAUAAACAAUUCAAAUA
rnacentral:misc_RNA from 1 species